rnacentral:rRNA from 1 species
UACAGAGGGUGCAAGCGUUAUCCGGAAUGAUUGGGCGUAAAGCGUGCGCAGGCGGCGCGUUAAGACAGGUGUGAAAGCCCCCGAGCUUAACUUGGGAAUUGCGCUUGUGACUGGCGUGCUGGAGUGUGGCAGAGGGAGGUGGAAUUCCACGUGUAGCAGUGAAAUGCGUAGAGAUGUGGAGGAACACCGAUGGCGAAGGCAGCCUCCUGGGCCAGCACUGACGCUCAUGCACGAAAGCGUGGGGAGCAAACAGG